rnacentral:rRNA from 1 species
CAGGCCUAACACAUGCAAGUCGAACGGUGGCAGCAAUGUCAUAGUGGCGCACGGGUGCGUAACACGUAGCUAACCUACCCAGAACUGGGGGAUAGCCCGCCGAAAGGCGGAUUAACACCGCAUAACAUCUACUAGUGGCAUCACUAGUUGAUUAAAUCUACGGAGGUUCUGGAUGGGGCUGCGGGUCAUUAGCUAGUUGGUAAGGUAACGGCUUACCAAGGCGACGAUGACUAGGGGAGCUGAGAGGCUGGUCCCCCACACGGGCACUGAGAUACGGGCCCGACUCCUACGGGAGGCAGCAGUAGGGAAUAUUGGGCAAUGGGCGAGAGCCUGACCCAGCCAUGCCGCGUGCAGGAAGAAGGCUUUCUGAGUCGUAAACUGCUUUUGAUAGGGAAGAAUAAGGUGUACGUGUACACCGAUGACGGUACCUACAGAAUAAGCACCGUCUAACUCCGUGCCAGCAGCCGCGGUAAU